rnacentral:tRNA from 4 species
GCGCCCGUAGCUCAGUUGGAUAGAGCGCCGGACUUCGAAUCCGUAGGCCGCAGGUUCGAGUCCUGCCGGGCGCGCCA